GGACGUUUGAUUAUUCCAUAAAAAAACACAUUCACACUGUAGAGGUCGCAGGUCCGAUCCCUGUAGCGUCCACCA
rnacentral:tRNA from 1 species